rnacentral:rRNA from 1 species
AAUAGAUACCCGGGUAGUCCACGCCGUAAACGAUGAGUGCUAAGUGUUAGAGGGUUUCCGCCCUUUAGUGCUGCAGCUAACGCAUUAAGCACUCCGCCUGGGGAGUACGGCCGCAAGGCUGAAACUCAAAGGAAUUGACGGGGGCCCGCACAAGCGGUGGAGCAUGUGGUUUAAUUCGAAGCAACGCGAAGAACCUUACCAGGUCUUGACAUCCCCUGCCAACCCUAGAGAUAGGGCGUUCCCCUUCGGGGGACAGAGUGACAGGUGGUGCAUGGUUGUCGUCAGCUCGUGUCGUGAGAUGUUGGGUUAAGUCCCGCAACGAGCGCAACCCUUGAUCUUAGUUGCCAGCAUUCAGUUGGGCACUCUAAGGUGACUGCCGGUGACAAACCGGAGGAAGGUGGGGAUGACGUCAAAUCAUCAUACCCCUUAUGACCUGGGCUACACACGUGCUACAAUGGAUGGUACAAAGAGCUGCGAACCCGCGAGGGUAAGCCAAUCUCAUAAAGCCAUUCUCAGUUCGGAUUGUAGG